rnacentral:misc_RNA from 1 species
GAUGAAGAACGCAGCGAAAUGCGAUAAGUAGUGUGAAUUGCAGAAUUCAGUGAAUCAUCGAAUCUUUGAACGCACAUUGCGCCCCUUGGUAUUCCAUGGGGCAUGCCUGUUCGAGCGUCAUUUGUACCUUCAAGCUUUGCUUGGUGUUGGGUGUUUGUCCAUUCUCUUGCAGAGGGACUCGCCUUAAAGUAAUUGGCAGCCAGUGUUUUGGUUUUGAAGCGCAGCACAAGUCCCGAUUCAACGCUAUACGCCAGCUUCCACAAGCCUUUUUCACUUUUGACCUCGGAUCAGGUAGGGAUACCCGCUGAACUUAAGCAUAUCAAUAACGGAGGA